ensembl:snoRNA SNORA70 Small nucleolar RNA SNORA70
CUACAAUCAAUUAAGCCACAUGGGGCCUGGUGUGCAAGGGCUGCAAACAGCAGCAUCCUAGGUAGUGUACAGCAGCCUGUUCCUUGUGUACAACA